ACUCCUACGGGAGGCAGCAGUGAGGAAUAUUGGUCAAUGGGCGCAAGCCUGACCCAGCCAUGCCGCGCGAAGGAUGAAUGCCCUAUGGGUUGUAAACUUCUUUUGUACGGGACAAAACUCCUGGUCGUGACCGGGAUUGAUGGUACCGUACGAAUAAGCAUCGGCUAACUCCGUGCCAGCAGCCGCGGUAAUACGGAGGAUCCGAGCGUUAUCCGGAUUUAUUGGGUUUAAAGGGUGCGCAGGCGGCAUGUUAAGUCGGCGGUGAAAUUUUGCAGCUCAACUGUAAAAGAGCCUUCGAAACUGGCAAGCUUGAGUGUGGAUGAAGUAGGCGGAAUUUGUGGUGUAGCGGUGAAAUGCAUAGAUAUCACAAAGAACACCGAUUGCGCAGGCAGCUUACUAAACCAUAACUGACGCUCAUGCACGAAGGCGUGGGGAUCAAACAGGAUUAGAUACCCUGGUAGUC
rnacentral:rRNA from 1 species